rnacentral:rRNA from 1 species
AUUGAACGCUGGCGGCAUGCUUUACACAUGCAAGUCGAACGGUAGAGGGGGCAACCCCUUGAGAGUGGCGAACGGGUGAGUAAUGCAUCGGAACGUGCCCAGUCGUGGGGGAUAACGCAGCGAAAGCUGUGCUAAUACCGCAUACGAUCUCUGGAUGAAAGCGGGGGACCGAAAGGCCUCGCGCGAUUGGAGCGGCCGAUGUCAGAUUAGGUAGUUGGUGGGGUAAAGGCUCACCAAGCCAACGAUCUGUAGCUGGUCUGAGAGGACGACCAGCCACACUGGGACUGAGACACGGCCCAGACUCCUACGGGAGGCAGCAGUGGGGAAUUUUGGACAAUGGACGCAAGCCUGAUCCAGCAAUGCCGCGUGCAGGAAGAAGGCCUUCGGGUUGUAAACUGCUUUUGUACGGAACGAAAAGGUCUGGGUUAAUACCCUGGGCGCAUGACGGUACCGUAAGAAUAAGCACCGGCUAACUACGUGCCAGCAGCCGCCGCGGUAA